rnacentral:ncRNA from 1 species
UAAAAAUUUUUGUAGUUUGGGAAAUUUAUUUAAAGUUUAUUUUACAUAUAAAUUUUAGUGUUAAUAUUAGUUUAUUUAAAUAAUAAAUUUUAUAAUUAAAUUAGUAAUUAAUAUUAAAAUAUUUAAGAAAUUAAUAUUUAGUAAUAUUUAAAUUAAUAACUAAUUUUGUGCCAGCAGUUGCGGUUAAACAAAGAUUAAAUUAAAUUUUAUUAGUUAAAUUAAUAAAUAAUAAUAAUAAUAAUAUAAAUUUUAAAUUAUUAGGUGAAAUUUUAAUUUAAUAAAAUAUUAUUUAAAAUUUAUGAUUUAAUAAUUUUUUUUUAAAAACUAGGAUUAGAUACCCUAUUAUUAAAAUUUUAAAUUAAAAAUACUAAAAUAGUAAUUAAUUAUUUAUUGAAACUUAAACAAUUUGGCGGUAUUUUAGUUCAUUUAGAGGAAUCUGUUUAAUAAUUGAUAAUCCACGAAUAAAUUUACUUAAUUUUUAAUUUUGUAUAUCGUUGUUAAAAAAAUAUUUUUUAAUAAAAGUAAUAUUUAAAAAUUAAAAAAUAAAUUAAAUCAGAUCAAGAUGCAGAUUAUAAUUAAGAAUAUAAUGGAUUACAAUAAAUUUAUUUAAAUGAAUAUUAAUUUGUAAAAAUUAGUUGAAAUUGGAUUUAAAUGUAAUUUUAUUUAAUUUAAUAAAAUGAUUAUAAAUUAAAAUAUGUACAUAUUGCCCGUCGCUUUCAUAUAAAAAAAAAUUGAAAUAAGUCGUAACAAAGUAGAGGUACUGGAAAGUGUUUCUAGAAAGAA